rnacentral:rRNA from 1 species
AUUGAACGCUGGCGGCAGGCCUAACACAUGCAAGUCGAGCGGAUGAAGGGAGCUUGCUCCUGGAUUCAGCGGCGGACGGGUGAGUAAUGCCUAGGAAUCUGCCUGGUAGUGGGGGAUAACGUCCGGAAACGGGCGCUAAUACCUCAUACGUCCUGAGGGAGAAAGUGGGGGAUCUUCGGACCUCACGCUAUCAGAUGAGCCUAGUUCGGAUUAGCUAGUUGGUGGGGUAAAGGCCUACCAAGGCGACGAUCCGUAACUGGUCUGAGAGGAUGAUCAGUCACACUGGAACUGAGACACGGUCCAGACUCCUAAGGGAGGCAGCAGUGGGGAAUAUUGGACAAUGGGCGAAAGCCUGAUCCAGCCAUGCCGCGUGUGUGAAGAAGGUCUUCGGAUUGUAAAGCACUUUAAGUUGGGAGGAAGGGCAGUAAGUUAAUACCUUGCUGUUUUGACGUUACCAACAGAAUAAGCACCGGCUAACUUCGUG